rnacentral:misc_RNA from 1 species
GACCAAUUAUGAAUGAAGUCUAUGUCUUUCUAGUUAUUAAAAAAAAAAUAAAAAAAAGACAUUUAAAUGCCUAGUAGAACGCCAACGUAAAUCCAGAAAAGACUCGCAAACCACCAAAAGGCCUAACUGAAAGGUUAGGCCCAAAGGCUAAAAAAAGAGGAAAUUCUAGGACUUGGUAGAUCCGACUUGCAAAGACCUGAAAGUCGACACGGGAGGCAAUUCUUAACCGCUUGAAACCCCGUAACACACGAUUAAAGUAAGGGAUCGAACAAGAGCUUAUACAGAGGAAGCUUCUUGAAAUGUUAGCAACCAAAAAAAGAAGGCCCCAACGAGACCAGAGAGAAUCUCUGCAAGGCUUACAUCACCCACACAUCCCUAUGUAGUCGAAAUAGGAAACGGUCUCAG